UACCAGGCUUGGCUGGCUCCAAAGGGGCCCAAGUUUCAAGUGAAUGUGAAGACUCAAUUAUGCUGAACGGAGCAAGUCACCUGGCAUCAUGGGGCUGAUUAUCCAGAAGCCUGGGUAGAAGAAAAGGGAUUCCAAAGAAUAAAACAAAGGAGAAAAGAGAAGCCACGUGACAAAAAAAAAAUUCAUAAGACAGCAGGAAAAUGCAAGAGAUCCAUAACAUCCUGAAGUGUAGGAUCAACCUGCCUCUCAAAGGAGAACAGCUUCAAAUAGCUCAUGAACUUUUCACCUUGCCAUCUUUCCCAAGCCAGAAUUUCUGCCUGCUUCCAUCACCAGCAACCCGAAGACAGAUGUCACAGCAAUUCUGGAGCUAGUCUGUCCUUUCUUGAAACUUCCAAACAAGGUUCACACUGAGUCACCCUGGGACCUGUUUUAAUAUAAACUGGAAACAAAAAAACAAACUUAGGGUAAAUACUUUUUACAUCGGUGAAAAAUGUGUCCAGAGAAACCUCACAAUUUC
rnacentral:lncRNA from 1 species